rnacentral:lncRNA from 1 species
AAACCGGUUAAUUUUUCUAAGCAUCCAACUAGGCAUCUUGCAUUGUACAUGCUCUGAGACGGUGGCCGUGGGAUCGGAGAGGCCGCAGGGAAACGGCUACAAGUUUAGACCUCAGUUUGCUUCUCUGUUUUUUUAGAGGUGUUUGCUUCGCUGUUUCUUACUCUUCUAAAUAUGCUAAAAAAACUUACUCUUCUAAAUCUAAAUAUAAAAACUAUAUUUUCCUGAAAAAAAAUACUACUCGGCGCUUUUGUUUUAAAGUUAGACUUCUUCAAAUUAACCAAGUUUUGUAAAAAAAAUCUAUUAAAAUGGAAAAUAUUAAAUAAAAUCUGUGAAAAUAUAUACAUGAUGGAUUUAAUAAAAGUAUUUUGAAGCUGUAGAGGUUGGUAAGUUUUUUAUAACUUGGUCAAACUUGAAGAAAAAUUGAUUUAAAAUAAAGAUAGGACUUCUUACAUAUUUCG